GCUCAGGAUGAACGCUAGCUACAGGCUUAACACAUGCAAGUCGAGGGGCAGCAUGGUCUUAGCUUGCUAAGGCUGAUGGCGACCGGCGCACGGGUGAGUAACACGUAUCCAACCUGCCGCCUACUCUUGGCCAGCCUUCUGAAAGGAAGAUUAAUCCAGGAUGGGAUCAUGAGUUCACAUGUCCGCAUGAUUAAAGGUAUUUUCCGGUAGACGAUGGGGAUGCGUUCCAUUAGAUAGUAGGCGGGGUAACGGCCCACCUAGUCAACGAUGGAUAGGGGUUCUGAGAGGAAGGUCCCCCACAUUGGAACUGAGACACGGUCCAAACUCCUACGGGAGGCAGCAGUGAGGAAUAUUGGUCAAUGGGCGAUGGCCUGAACCA
rnacentral:rRNA from 1 species